rnacentral:rRNA from 1 species
CCUACGGGGGGCAGCAGUGGGGAAUAUUGGACAAUGGGGGGAACCCUGAUCCAGCCAUGCCGCGUGUGUGAAGAAGGCCCUCGGGUUGUAAAGCACUUUCAGUGAGGAAGAACGCCUGGUGGUUAAUACCCAUCAGGAAAGACAUCACUCACAGAAGAAGCACCGGCUAACUCCGUGCCAGCAGCCGCGGUAAUACGGAGGGUGCGAGCGUUAAUCGGAAUUACUGGGCGUAAAGCGCGCGUAGGUGGCUUGAUAAGCCGGUUGUGAAAGCCCCGGGCUCAACCUGGGAACGGCAUCCGGAACUGUCAAGCUAGAGUGCAGGAGAGGAAGGUAGAAUUCCCGGUGUAGCGGUGAAAUGCGUAGAGAGCGGGAGGAAUACCAGUGGCGAAGGCGGCCUUCUGGACUGACACUGACACUGAGGUGCGAAAGCGUGGGUAGCAAACAGGAUUAGAUACCCUUGUAGUC